rnacentral:rRNA from 1 species
CCCUUAGAUGUUCUGGGCCGCACGCGCGCUACACUGAUGCACUCAACGAGUCUCACCUUGACCGAAAGGUCCGGGAAACCUUCGAACUUGCAUCGUGAUGGGGAUAGAUUAUUGCAACUAUUAAUCUUCAACGAGGAAUACCUAGUAGGCGCGUGUCAUCAGCGCGCGUCGAUUACGUCCCUGCCCUUUGUACACACCGCCCGUCGCUCCUACCGAUUGAAUGAUCCGGUGAGGCCCCCGGAUUGUGUGCGCGGCUCUGGUUCGCUAGACUGCGCGCGCGAGAAGCUGUCCAAACCUUAUCAUUUAGAGGAAGGAGAANUCGUAACA